CCUUACCGAUAAUUUCUUCCUGAAAUCUUGGCACUUUAUGACGUCAUCACCUUGCCUAUGUCACCCGCCACUAUCAACCAAUAACAGGCAGCAUAUACUGCUCUGGUAGAUGGAACUUGGUGCGAGCUACCCAUUAAUUUGGGUUGUCGUCACCUCUAGUUCAGUUUCAGGCGCGGCUAGCCGUGCAUUUGGUCUUGCAGCAAGACCGUAGUUCGUUUUCGCCUUAAAUUACCUAUUCCCUUUAGCGUUAAUUAUUCCUUUACCCAACUUUUCCACGUUAAAACUACAUUCCCAACACUGUUACACAAUGUUAAAUGCGUCCGAAAUAAGUCAGUUUAGUUAUGACGACAUACGAUGACGUCAUGAUGACGAAGAACGAAAAAAGAAGACGCCACAUGCCCAUAGGGGUACAGGGGAAUUGUAACCGGGUCCUGCAGACGGAGAGGACGAAGAGGAGUGAAUGGAACACAAGUAGCUUCAGAACCAGUACGGUACAAAUGGUAGUACUGGUCAACGGUAUGUUGUCGAUGUCCCAAUAGGCGAUGGAGUCCCGGCGUGUGGCUGUUUAUUAGGGUCGUCCCCAGUACAGUGUUGUAUUAUUUUUGUCGCUGGUUACCCACCAUGUGGUUCCCUUUUUGGUGCUGCGUGGUGGGGUAUCAGUAACGCGCGACGCGACGCACAUACGCACGCAAUCGGCGCACACGAUCGACGCACAAAAUAGACGCAUGCGGAAGACCAAAGACCAAGACAAUGACGAACUUUCAACACCGAAAAUUUAAGAGACCACAACAUCACUACAAGCUUGUGUUAUUUAAAGUUUUACUUCCAUACUUCCAUACAGCUUACGAUAACCUAUAUUUAUAUUAACCUUUAUUGUUUUACAGGAAUCAAUUCAAGAUCUUCAUUUCUUACUCCUUUUCUAUCUUUCUACUUUAUUUUCUUCUUAACUCUUUGGUGGCCGGCCACCAC